rnacentral:rRNA from 1 species
UACGAAGGGUGCAGGCGUUACUCGGAAUUACUGGGCGUAAAGCGUGCGUAGGUGGUUUGUUAAGUCUGUUGUGAAAGCCCCGGGCUCAACCUGGGAAUGGCAAUGGAUACUGGCAGGCUAGAGUGCGGUAGAGGGUAGUGGAAUUCCCGGUGUAGCGGUGAAAUGCGUAGAGAUCGGGAGGAACACCAGUGGCGAAGGCGGCUACCUGGACCAGCCACUGGACACUGAGGCACGAAAGCGUGGGGAGCAAACAGGG